AGGCUGGAGUGCAGUGGCAUGAUCUCAGCUUACUGUGACCUCCACCUGCCGGGUUCAAGUGAUCCUCCUGCCUCAGCCUCCCGAGUAGCUGUGAUUAUAGGUGCCUGCCACUACACCCAGCUAAGUUUUGUACUUUUUUAGUAGAGACGGUCAGGCUGGUCUCGAACUCCUGACCUCAAGUGAUCUGCCUGCCUCAGCCUCACAAAGUGCUGGGAUUACAGGUGUGAGCCACAGGGCCUGGCUUCAAUAUACCAUUUAAAAAGUAACCCAUUCCCUAAAUUCCUUGACACAUACACCCUCCCAAGACUAAACCAGGAAGACCAAUAACAGGCUCUGAAAUUGAGGCAAUAAUUAAUAGCCUACCAACCAAAAGAAGUCCAGGACCAGAUGGAUUCACAGCCGAAUUCUACCAGAGGUACAAAGAGGAGCUGGUACCAUUCCUUUUGAAACGAUUCCAAUCAAUAGAAAAAGAGAAUCCUCCCUAACUCAUUUUAUGAGGCCAGCAUCAUCCUGAUACCAAAGCCUGGCAGAGACACAACAAAAAAAGAGAAUUUUAGACCAAUAUCCCUGAUGAACAUCGAUGCGAAAAUCCUUAAUAAAAUACUGGCAAACCGAAUCCAGCAACACACCAAAAAGCUUAUCCACCACGAUCAAGUUGGCUUCAUCCCUGGGAUGCAAGGCUGAUUCAACAUACGCAAAUCAAUAAACAAUCCAUCACAUAAACAGAACCAAUGACAAAAACCACAUUAUUAUCUCAAUGGAUACAGAAAAGGCCUUCGAAAAAAUUCAACAGCACUUCAUGCUAAAAACUAGGUAUUGAUGGAGCGUAUCUCAAAAUAAUAAGAGCUAUUUAUGACAAACCCACAGCCAAUAUCAUACUGAAUGGGCAAAAACUGGAAGCAUUCUCUUUGAAAACCGGCACAAGACAAGGAUGGCCCCUCUCACCACUCGUUUUCUAAAUGGUGUUGGAAGUUCUGGCCAGGGCAAUCAGGCAAGAGAAAGAAAUAAAGAUAUUCAAUUAGGAAAAGAGGAAGUCAAAUUGUCCCUGUUUGCAGAUGACAUGAUUGUAUAUUUAGAAAACCCCAUCGUCUCAGCCCAAAAUCUCCUUAAACUGAUAAGCAACUUCAGCAAAGUCUCAGGACACAAAAUCAAUGUGCAAAAAUCACAAGCAUUCCUAUACACCAAUAACAGACAAACAGAGAGCCAAAUCAUGAGCGAACUCCCAUUCACAAUUGCUUCAAAGAGAAUAAAAUACCUAGGAAUCCAACUUACAAGGGAUGUGAAGGACCUCUUCAAGAAGACCACUGCUCAACGAAAUAAAAGAGGACACAAACAAAUGGAAGAAAAUUCCAUGCUCUUGGAUAGGAAAAAUUAAUAUCAUGAAAAUGGCCAUACUGCCCAAGGUAAUUUAUAGAUUCAAUGCCAUCCCCAUCAAGCUACCAAUGACUUUCUUCACAGAAUCGGAAAAAACUACUUUAAAGUUCAUAUGGAACUAAAAAAGAGCCCGCUUUGCCAAGACAAUCCUAAGACAAAAGAACAAAGCUGGAGACAUCAUGCUACCUGACUUCAAACUGCACUACAAGCCUACAGUAACCAAGACAGCAUGGUGCUGGUACCAAAACAGCGAUAUAGACCAAUGGAAUGGAACAGAGGCCUCAGAAAUAACACCACACCUACAACCAUCUGGUCUUUGACAAACCUGACAAAAACAAGAAAUGGGAAAAGGAUUCCCUAUUUAAUAAAUGGUGCUGGGAAAACUGGCUAGCCAUAUGUAGAAAGCUGAAACUGGAUCCCUUCCUUAUACCUUAUAUAAAUAUUAAUUCACGAUGGAUUAAAGACUUAAAUGUUAGACCUAAAACCAUAAAAAACCCUAGAAGAAAACCCAGGCAAUACCAUUCAGGACAUAGGAAUGGGCAAGGACUUCAUGACUAAAACACCAAAAGCAAUGGCAACGAAAGCCAAAAUAGACAAAUGGGAUCUAAUUAAACUAAAGAGCUUCUGCAUGGCAAAAGAAACUACUAUCAGAGUGAACAGGCAACCUACAGAAUGGGAGAAAAUUUUUGCAAUCUACCCAUCUGACAAAGGGCUAAUAUCCAGAAUCUACAAAGAACUCAAACAAAUUUACAAGAAAAAAACAAACAACCCCAUCAAAAAGUGGGCAAAGGAUAUGAACAGACACUUCUCAAAAGAAGACAUUUGUGCAGUCAACAGACACAUGAAAAAGUGCUCAUCUUCACUGGUCAUCAGAGAAAUGCAAAUCAAAACCACAAUGAGAUACCAUCUCAUGCCAGUUAGAAUGGUGAUCAUUAAAAAGUCAGGAAACAACAGGUGCUGGAGAGGAUGUGGAGAAAUAGUAACGCUUUUACAUUGUUAUUGGGAGUGUAAAUUAGUUCAACCGUUGUGGAAGCCCGUGUGGCGAUUCCUCAAGGAUCUAGAACUAGCAAUACCAUUUGACCUAGCGAUCCCAUUACUUGGUAUAUACCCAAAGGAUUAUAAAUCAUGCUACUAUAAAGACACAUGCACACAUAUGUUUAUUGCAGCACUAUUCACAACAGCAAAGACUUGGAACUAACCCAAAUGUUCAUCAAUGAUAGACUGGAUUAAGAAAAUGUGGCAUGUAUACACCAUGUAAUACUAUGCAGCCAUAAAAAAGGAUGAGUUCAUGUCCUUUGCAGGGACAUGGAUGAAGUUGGAAACCAUUAGUUUCAGCAAACUAUCACAACACAGAAAACCAGGCACCACAUGUUCUCACUCAUAGGUGGGAAUUGAACAAUAAGAACACCUGGACACAGGGCGGGGAACAUCAC
rnacentral:lncRNA from 1 species